GAUGAACGCUGGCGGCGUGCCUAAUACAUGCAAGUCGAGCGAACAGAUAAGGAGCUUGCUCCUUUGACGUUAGCGGCGGACGGGUGAGUAACACGUGGGUAACCUACCUAUAAGACUGGGAUAACUUCGGGAAACCGGAGCUAAUACCGGAUAAUAUUUCGAACCGCAUGGUUCGAUAGUGAAAGAUGGUUUUGCUAUCACUUAUAGAUGGACCCGCGCCGUGUUAGCUGGUUGGUAAGGUAACGGCUUACCACGGCGACGAUACGUAGCCGACCUGAGAGGGUGAUCGGCCACGCGGGAACUGAGACACGGUCCAGACUCCGACGGGGGGCAGCAGUAGGGAAUCUUCCGCAAUGGGCGAAAGCCUGACGGAGCAACGCCGCGUGAGUGAUGAAGGUCUUCGGAUCGUAAAACUCUGUUAUUAGGGAAGAACAUACGUGUAAGUAACUGUGCACGUCUUGACGGUACCUAAUCAGAAAGCCACGGCUAACUACGUG
rnacentral:rRNA from 1 species